UGGAGAAGAUGAUCAAGGCCUCCACAGGACUGUGUUCCACACCUCGUGGUAGUGCAGUACGUGUCUUCUGUGUAAGAAGCACAACAUCUUCUGCCUCCUGUGGGUUUCCAGCUGGUUCU